rnacentral:sRNA from 1 species
GCUGGGUGUAGUGGCACAUGCCUGUAAUUCCAGUGACUUGGAGGCUGAGAUAGGAGGAUCUCGAGUUCAAAGCCAGCCUCAGCAACUCAGAGAGGCACUAUCAAUUCAGUGAGACCCUGUCUCUA